rnacentral:rRNA from 2 species
UACGUAGGGUGCAAGCGUUGUCCGGAAUUAUUGGGCGUAAAGAGCUCGUAGGCGGUCUGUCGCGUCGGCUGUGAAAACCUGGGGCUUAACCCCGGGCCUGCAGCCGAUACGGGCAGACUAGAGUACGGCAGGGGAGACUGGAAUUCCUGGUGUAGCGGUGAAAUGCGCAGAUAUCAGGAGGAACACCGGUGGCGAAGGCGGGUCUCUGGGCCGAAACUGACGCUGAGGAGCGAAAGCGUGGGGAGCAAACAGG